rnacentral:lncRNA from 10 species
GCACAUUAUUUUUGAGAACAAGAAUAAAAGUGGGACCCUGGAUUCCCCAGCACCUUGUCCUCCCCUUUAUAUGAUAGAUGGAGUCUCGCUCUGUCACCAGGCUGAAGUGCAAUGGCGAGAUCUCGGCUUACUGCAACUCCACCUCCCAGGUUCAAGUGAUCCUCCUGCCUCAGCCACCAUGCCCGUCUAAUUUUUUGUAUUUUUAGUAGAGACGGGGUUUUACCGUGUUAGCCAGGAUGGUCUCAAUCUCCUAAUCUCAUGAUCCGCCCGCCUCGGCCUCCCAAAGUGCUGGGAUUACAGCCGUGAGCCACUGCGCCCGGGCUGAUUUCUUCUUAUGCCUAGUUGUGGAAGCUUCCAGGCUGACAAGAACGUAACGAACUGAGAAUAUGCCACCUUCAAUUCCUGCUUAAUACCUACCUUGGUCUUGGGAUGGGCAUGUUAAGAAUAGCAUAAUUGAAGAUGGCAGGAGGAUGGGAAGGGAAAAGGAGGGUGAUGCAGAAGAGGUGCUGAUAUGAUUGGCUUUGUGUCCCCAUAAUCCCCACGUGUCAAGGAAGAGACCAGAUGGAGGUAGUUGAAUCAUGGUGGGUGGGGGUUUCCCCCAUGCUGUUCUCGUGAUAGUCAGUUCUCACGAGAUCUAAUGGUUUUAUAAGGGACUCUUCCCUCUUCGCUUGGCACGCCACCUUCCUGCCCCCUGGCGAAGAAGGCGCUUUGUUUUCCCCUUCACCUUCUACCAUGACUGUACAUUUUAUGAGGCUUCCCCAACCAUACUGAACCGUAAGUCAAUUAAACCUCUUUCCUUUAUAAAUUACCCAGUCUUGGGCAGUUGUUCAUGCAGUACGCAAACGGACUAACACAGGUGCUCUUGUUGAGAAGUGGAGGAGCAAAUUAGACAUGCUGUCUCUUUUCAAAUGCCAAUUUAGAAAAAUAGGGCAACCUGGGAGCAGAUUCAAUACAAUUAGUCAAGGAAGAUGAUAAUGCACAUUUGUUUCUGCAGUUUUACUCAUCCUUCCAUUUUUCCUUUCUAAUCUGUUAUGUAUAGCUUAAUAUGUCUCAUAAAAAAUACAUGAUACUUUCUACAGGGUACAAGGUGAACUAUUUAAGUUUCCAUAAAAAGUCUCUGUAAGCUGACAGAAUUUAAUCAGAAAAUGAGACAUCUCACCAUUGAAGAAUUUGUUUUAGAUAUUAUACAUUCUACUUUCUGUUUUAUUGGCCAAGAUAGCAAUACAUUUAGUUUAUUACCAAUUAACCUUUCUAUUUUGAUCUAUGCACUGGGAUUUCUCUUUUCUAAAGUUGAUGAGAAACACCAGCCAAAAGAAUGAGCCUCACAGGCAUUUUCUUUCUAAACUGAGAAACCUAGAAAAGUGGUUUUGAUAUUAGGAUAAAAUAGAAAUUACUGAACUCCCCUCAAAGAGGUAAGGAAUAUAUAAAUUGUAGAAAACAAAUUUGCAUUACCUGAAAUAUAUUUCUUUUGGAAUUAUAAAUUCAUGAAAUUGAAAUUGCUAUGAGAUGCCUGUCAUCAAUAAUUUUCUAUGUGAGAACACAGUAAUUUAGUACUGAUACAAUUACUAAUAUUAGUAGGAUUAAUAAUAAUAGUUCAUACUUGUAAUUAUCUAUAAAUGAGAAAGAUAAAAAAUGUCAGCCUGUCUGUAACCUCUAAGACACAAUGGUGGUGAGAAAGAAAUCAAAGAGGAGAAGAGAAUAGAGGGAGAGAUGGAAAGAAUAAUCCAUAAACUCUGGGUUUUUCUAUUACUUCAAUAAAAUAAGUCAAAUUCUCAAUGAGAUCUGACCUUUGAAAACUGUUUAGCAUGACUCCAGGGGGAUGUUGGGAGGAUUAACUAGCUGAAGCUUGCAGAGAGAUUUCAAAGUUCCUUGUGUGUUAUUUAUUCCUUGCUUUACCAGUUCAGUUCCUUUUUAAUUUGAUCAUAUUUGGUGGGAUGCCAGAGCCAUGAUAAAAUAUCCAAUAAACACGGGUUUCAAGUAAAAUCACAAGCUAUUGUUUGAGGAGGAAAGAUUGAGGUAGUUCUAAAAGUGUAGAGGUAAUUCUGUGCGUAGACAUGCUAUUUUUAAAAGAUUUUUUUAAGUUAAAUCACUUCAAAGAGCAGGAAACGGACCCAAAGAGAUUAAUUGAUUUUCUAAAUAUCAAACAGCUGACUCAUAAUUUUGACAGUUUUUCACUGGCAUUAGAGAUCCUGGCUUCAAAGUACUUGAUCACCUUUGGCAUUAUAAUUUGAAGAUGCUGUUAUGGUUUGGAAGCUGAGUGGGAUGGAAUUGGUGAACUUUUUCUAAUUAUUCAAUUGGUGAAAGAACUGUGUGUUUUAUUCUUCUCUUAUCAUUGGGUUUCAGAUUUUAAAAUAUUGUUUGGAUGGAA